CUUUUGUAGAAGCCUGAACCCCCUCAUACGUGGGGGUACAUACAUAUCUCCUUUUCAGUUGGAGUGUAUGUCAUGGUUUUGUAACUUUGCUAUUGGUAUUCCACAUCAUAACAUCAUGGCCAAAAGAGAAGAACUACGUAUCCCAGAGGACCUCACGGUCAGAGAAGGAAGAUACAUCACGGAAGAUACGUCAUCUGGUUGUGCGUGGUCUUUUUCACUUUUCGCUUGCUGCCAGGGAGAGGAGUGGGUGUGUGCUUUCCAAGCCAUGCGCCUUCAUCAAGUUAGAGGCUGAUCUUCUAGAGAGGAGCUCUGUGGAGAAGGACUUGAAUAUCCUAGUGGACAGCAGGUUGACCAUGAGCCAGAAGUGUGCCCCUGUGGCCAAGAAGGUCAAAGAUAUCCUGGGGUACAAUAAAAGAAGUGUGUCCAGAAGGUUGAGGGAAAUGAUCCUCCCACUCUACCCUGCCGCGCAGAGUGCACGUCUGGACUACUGCAUCCAUUUCUGGGCUCCUCAGUUCAAGAAAGACAGUGAACUUCUAGACAGAGUCCAGCACAGAACCACAACAAUAUUUAGUGGCCUGGAACAUCUCUCUUGUGAGGAAAGUUGUUGCAAUUGGACUGAAGCGAUUGCUGAUAGGAGAACAGACUGACAGAAGAACUCACUGAGAGCAGCUCUGUGGAGAAGGACUCGGGGGUCCUGAUGAAUGAAAAGCUGGACACAAGCUAUCAGUGUGCACUUGCAGCCCAGAAGGACAACUAUAUCCUGGGCUGUAUCAAAAGAGGAGUGAGCCAGCAGAGUGAGGGAGAGGAUUGUCCCCCUCUACUCUGCCUUUGUGAUGUCCCACCUGGAGUACUGUGUGCAUGCCUGGGGCCCCUACUACAAGAACAAUGGGGGGCUGUUGGCGUGGGUCCAGAGAAUGGCCAUUGAGAUGAUCAGAGGCCUGGAGCACCCGUCCUGUGAAGAAAGGUUGAGGGAGUGGGGCUUGUUUAGCUUGGGGAAGAGAGGACUAUGGGGAGAUCUCAUUACGGUCUUCCAGUACCUGAAGGGAGCUAACAAGCAGUCUUCUUUCACAGUCUGAUAGUGACAAGACAAGGGGGAAUGCCUAGAAACUAAAUGAGAGUAGAUUUAGGUUAGCUUCUAGGAAGAAAUUUUUUACUCAGAGGAUUGUGAAGUGUUGGAAACAUAUGUUGCCCAGAAGGGUUAUGGAUGCCCCAUCCCUGGAGGUAUUGAAGGCCAGAUUGGCUACCGCCCUGGGUAACCUUAACUGGUGGCUGGCAGGGUUGUCAACCUAAGCCAUUCCAUGAUUCUAUGAUCCUAUGAAAGGCCAAGAGACCUUGGACUAUUAAGCCUGAAUAAGAGAAGACUGAGGGAGGAUCUUAUCAAUGCUUUAAAUAUCUACAGGGCAGGAGUCAAGUGGAUGGGGCCAGGCUCCUUUUGGCAAUGCCCAGUGACAGGACAAUGGGCAAUGGGCACAGACUAAAACACAGGAAGUUCCAUCUGAACAUGAGAAAAAACAACUUUUUUUGGAGGGUGACAGAGCACUGGAAAAGCUGCCCAGAGAAGUUUUGGAGCCUCCUUUUAUAGAGAUACUCAGAAGUCUCCCAAAUGCUUUCCUGUGUAAUUACCUCUAGGCAACAUGCUUUAGCGGAGGUGUUGGUCUAGAUUAUCUCCAAAGAUCCCUUCUAACCCCUAUGGUUCUGUGAUUUUGAGAUUUUUAGGCAUUGGCAAAGUACUAAUAGUGAAGGACAAAUUUUCAUAGUGAGAAUUCUGGAAAGCUGGAGCAAAUUAUUGAGAAUGUAUUUUCUUUGUAUAAAAUAUUUAGAUGUCCCUUAUCUUUCAAAUCAUUGUUGCUUGACAGUCACUGUACAGUGAUUUAAAUAAAUAUGACAAACUGCGCUAUUACCCACACAGUAGGGAUAACACAGUUGGAGGUAUAAUUCCUCCAUCAUAUAUUCUAGCUCAAAGGUUGGUGUGCAGAAUUAACUCCAGUUACAUAUACAAAUCUGGAGCAUGACCUUGUGUGACUGAGGUGCAGGCUAUAUCAUUCUUUGAUUAUCCCUGCAUCAGAAAUAGUAACUUCAGGAAAUUCUGUAAGGUUGAGAGACAGCAAUGAUGACUUGUUUAACACUCAUAACAUUCAGCAGGGCUGGUCUGGAAGACCAUCAAAAUACAUAAAUAAGUGAUAACCUUCAAAAGAGAUGUUACGCAUUUCUGAACAUAAGGUAACAGGAUGUGUAACUAUAAAAUUCUUCUUGUUUAGGAUUGUGAGAGAUGAUACAGUUUUAGGUGCUGGAAUGAAAAGGCUUUGACAUAAGCAGAGAAUGAUUUUGAGGGAGAUAAGGUGUCUUUCACCUGUUUUUAUUAAACUGUGAAAUUAUUUACUAUUGUAUAUAGGAAAGACUGGUAGUGGGGGUGUGGUUUGUAUGGGUGGCAGAGGGAAAACCAAUUUCAGAGGGGAGGAAGCAGGAGGAGGCAGUCCAUGGCAGAGGAUACAGUCACUGUAGUCCAGGGAGAGCCCGCACUGGCACAGAUUUUUCCUGACAAGAGCUGAAAUCCUAACAAAAACUCAGAAGGGAAUAGAUUCCACAGCCCCCCCCCCCCCCCCCCCCCCUCCCCCCGCCAAGGAACUACAGCUUAUGGAUAACUGACUAACCCACAAUGGAACAGGGAAAAUGUGUUAGGAAAUUGGAAAUAAGUCUUGUUUAAUGCUUUUUUUUUUUUUUUUUUUUUUUUCCUGCUACCAGGGAAAGGUCACAAAGUUGAUCAGAGGGCUGGAACAUUUCCCCUGUAAGGACAGGCUGAGAAAGCUGAGGUUGUUCAGUCUGGAGAAGAGAGGAGGGCCUACAGAAAUUCUGGGGUGAGAUAUUUUAUAAGGGCGUGUAGCAACAGGAUGUAGGAAAAUGGCUAUAAAAUGGAAGAGAGUAGAUUUAGACUAGUCAUAAGGAAGAAUAUAAGAAAUUAUAAGGAAGAAGUUUUUCUCUGUGAGAGUAAUGAGACACUGGAACAGGUUGCUCAGAGACAUUGUGGGUGUCCCCUCCCAGGAGGUGUUCAAGGCCACGCUAGAUGGGGCUUUGAGCAACCUGGUCUAGCAGGAGGUGUCCUUGUCCAUGGCAAGGGUUAGAACAACACAUUCUCUAAGGUCCCUUCCAACACAUACCAUUCUGUGAUUCUAUGAAAAUUAGUAAUGACAUUUUUAUUUUACUUGGCAACAAAUUCACCACAUCAAGAUGUUUUGCCUGCAGUGGUAGUUAGAAAGCAAUCUACCUGUCUUAAUCUUGAUCCUUCUUGUUCUUUCUGCUUUCUAAUCCCAUCCUACUGCAGGAGGAAUUAAGUAAGCAGCUAAGUAAGCAUUUGGCUUUUAGCCAAGUCUAACCCAUCUUGUUGCUCUUAAGAAUUUCUGCCUUGUUCUUGCCUCCUAAAUAUUUAGUCAUCAGGUCCAGUUUCCACCUUGGACAUGUCAAUAUUCCUGCAAAGUACAACUAAUUUUGUAAGUAAGUGUAAAUAAGUUCAAAGUGAUCUUGAAAAUUUAAACUCAAAGGUACUUUUCUCUUUUUCUUUUUUAUUUUAAUAGCAGAUAGGCUAGGCUAUGCUCUAUGCUUGCCUAGAAGAUUUUAUCAGGAUUUAGAAACAUUAGAGACACUUCAACCCACUUUCUCCUCUUCCUUUUGUGACACACUUUAGUUUUUGUCACAUAUAAAAUGGAAUAAAAAUCAUCAAUAGUACUAAAAUGAAUGUCUGUCUAAGAAUUACCAUUUCUGAUGCAGUUGAUGUAGCACAUGUAAAAAGUAUAUUUUGCUUUGGUCUGAUGGAAAUGUGCAUCUGAUUUAGAAUAAUUUGUCUUGCUACUUGAGCAAACAAAAUGUAAUUAAGUUGCCUAUAACAGCUAAGAAUAAUAGCUUCUCAUUAAUAUUGUUACCUGGGUGUUAAAAAACCUAAAGCAAGGCAAAUGUAAUGAAUUUAGCAAGUUAACAGAAUUGCCUUUUUUUUUUUUUAAGCAAUCUUUUCAUGCCACUGUAUUUGAGAUGGUGUCAGCAUUGCUAUUAUAAAUAAUUUAAGCAUUUAUAACUCAGUAAGAGAAGAGCACUAGUUCAGUCACAUUCUAAAUGAGUUAUUUGCUCAAUAUGUCUUCAAGGCUUAAGGGAACAUAAGAUAAAACUUACAUUUUCCUCUAGGGGCAUUAGUAAUUAAGCUAGAUAUUCAACUUUAACCAGACAAUUAAAAAAGGUUCCUCAGUGCUACUUUGAAUGCAAAGUUUGUCUAAACAUGAUGUACUUACAUGCAGGAUAGGAUGAUUUUGGGAGGUAUUCCAAGAACAGAAACAGCAGUGACUAUCACUGCUUGUCAAAUAAUGAAUAAUAAGAGUUGUCCUGCAGAGGACAAGUGAGAGGUCAGAGGAAGAAGAUAGCUUUUUUUCUUUUGUUAACGGAUGGUGCAAAAAUUCUAUGUUACCAUUCGGAUGGAGAAAAUAUAAGAUAUUGUUCUAGGCCCCUUUCCAAAAAAGCACUUAUACUUUCAUUUGUGUGGUAGUGAACAGUCUUGCUGAUUUCAGCCACUUUUCACAUGGCUAAAUUGAAGCACACACUUACAGAACUGUUGGAUUGUUGCUGAGACAGAUGCAUACUUAGGAAGCAAAAGAGCAGUAAGGUUGAAAUUAGUAAUUCAGUCACAACACUAGCAUCAUUCUCAUGAUGCAUAAAAGCAUUAUUUUUCAACAUUCACUUCUCUUUCUGAAGGACUGGAAACAAAUAGCAGGUAAUAAUCAGAACAGUUUAAAUCUGCAGUUUAGUAAUUCAAAUCUUAUAUGAUAAUUUUUUGCAUUCUCACUCUUGUGCCAAAUUAAAAGUUUUGAAAUAGAAUUAAUGGAGUUAGAAUUCACAUGAGAAUUUGUUAAUUGCUGUGAUAAAAAUAAUGAGACUGACAGGCUUGAGAACUGGGCCCUAAUGAGGUUCAACAAGGGCAAGUGUAAGGACUUGGGGGGUCCUGGUGGAUGAGAAGCUGGACAUGAUCCAAUAGUAUGCAUAUGCAGCCCAGAGGGCCAACUGUAUUCGGGGCUGCAUUAAAAAAGGAGUGGCCAGAAGGGAUAGGGAGGUAAUUGUCCCCUUCUACUCAGCUCUUGUGAGACUGCCUGAACCCAUCUUUGGCUUUGGCUUUGGCUCAAAGCUUGCUUUCUGAGGCAUUUCUUGUGAUAAGACUCUUACUUAUCUAGGAGAUGAGAGGUGCUGUGUGGCAGUGGGCAUCACUGUGUGGACUAUUUUACAUUUGAAAACAUUUCUUUGGAGCUGUUUGCCUUCUGAAGAGAAUGCUCAGGACUGUUUUCUGGCGGAAGAUCUGUCCUGUGACCAAAUAACUCCAGAUUGCUAUGGCAGACUGGGGGGAUGAUACCAUUGUAUCCUGUGAAGGCAAGAAAUAAGGGGGUGCCUCCCUGCUCCCUCUUGUCUGCUGGCAAGGCCCAGAAGAUGGGAACAAAAGGAGUUCCUGCUGUGAUCCAAAAGCCAGCAGCUGUCACUACAAAAGGAGCUGACUAGGCCACUUUGGACUUAUAAAUAAGCUUGUACUGACAUUGGAAAGAGUCGUUGUCAUCGUCGCUGUCAUUAUCGUCAAAUGAACAACAACCCCUGAUGACCCAUCACUACUGAAGAUCAACAUCUGAACUACGAGCAGUGCUGGAAUCCAUGGUGGUGACUAUCUCUUUUGCUUUCUACAAAGACUCCUUGCUUUUAUUUUUUAUCUUUCCUAUCGCCCAUCUUCUCUUCCCCAUCUCCCUAAAUGACUAGGAUUUGUGAUAAACUGGUUGGGUUAACAUUUGACUCUCUUUGUCUUAAUCUCCGCAUUGGGUAUACAAAUACUAAAAGAACCUCUUCUUCCUCCUUUAAAUUAUAGCUAGACAGAGGCCCCAUCUGGAGUACUGCAUCCAUGUGUGAGGCGCCCAGCACAAGAAAGACGCAGAGCUCUUGGAACAGGUCCAGAGGAGGACCACUAAGAUGAUCAGAGGGCUGGAGCACCUAUGAAGAAAAGUUGAGGGAACUGGGCUUGUUUAGCUUGGAGAAGAGAAGGCUCCAGGGAGACCUCCCUGUGGCCUUCCAGUACUUAAAGGGAGAGUAUAAACAGGAGGGGGUACAACUGUUUACAUGGGUCGAUAGUGACAUGACAAGGGCAAUAGUUUUAAACUAAUACAGGGGGAAUUUAGGUUAAAUAUUAGGAGGAAGUUUUUCACUCAGAGGGUGGUGAUGCACUGGAACAGGUUGCCCAAGGAGGUAGUGGAUGCCCCAUCUCUGGAGGCAUUCAAGGCAAGGAUAGGUGUGCCUCUGGUCUAGUCAUUGGUGACCUUGCCCAUGGCAGGGGGGAUGAAGCUAGAUGAUCUUUGAGGUCUUUUUCAAUCUAGGCCGAUCUGUGAUUCUAUGUUUUGCAGUAGAUGAGCUACUGCUGGACAAUUUCUGCAUGUAUCAUUUUUAAAAGAAUUUACACUGAUUACAUCAGAACAUUCAGUCUUUCUUGACAGUCUUUUUUCUUGUUAUUGGCAGGGCAGUAAUUACUACAUAAAAAUAUGUAUGUAGGAACAGAGAACACUUUAAGAACUUUGUUAUGAGGUAAAUACUAGGCAAAAAAUAUAAAAGGAGAAUUUGUAAUGAGCACAUCCGAUAAUACACAAAAAGUAUAUUUUCUUCUUUUUUUUUCCUCCCUCUCCUAAUGAGGUUCUGAAUAAAAUCAUUUAAAAAUGAUCCUUCCUUUUGUGUUAAGAAAGAGAGCUUCUUCUAUCGCAUGUCCAUAUCACUUGAAGUACUACUCUAGGUAUUCAAAUGAUUCCAAUCCCUUGAAAUCAGCAUGAGCAGAUAGAAGGCAAACCUGAUGAAGAGCUCGUUAGGCAAUCUCAGAAAAGAUUUUGAAGUGAUAAACUAUUUUUGCUGUUUUCACAAAUUUUCAGGUAUAAAGUCCUAGGUUCUGUUUCACAUGGAGCAGACAAAUCACCUGGGAAGCUGAUGCCCUUUGAUGAAGAGAAAGCCUCUAAGACUUUCUUUAACUCUGCAUCAAUUCAUAGGAAAGAAGUUUUGGAACCAUGGCUCAUAGAGCUUUUAACCUUUUGUGGAGACUGCCUGAUGAGGUUCUGCACAGAUGCCUUUAUGGAAUGAGAGAAGUUCUAUGAGAGAGAGAAGAACAUUUCAGCUUCUUGUGCUGCCCUGCCAGUGAGGAGACGGGGGGUGCAAAGAAGCUGAGGUGGGACAGAACCAGGACAGCUGACCCAAAAUGUCCAAAGGAAUAUCCUAUACCAUAUGACAUAGUUCUGACAAUAAAACUGGGAGACUGAGUGAGCUGUGUCGUGCUGAGCUGCCUGCCAGGGUUAAACCACAGCAGUAGUGCACCCAACAGAGGACUGGAAGAGUUUGAGAUUAUGACAGAUUUGACUGGAGUAUGGAGCGUGCUACACCAAAUGCAUAGUUGUUAUACUCUUCAGCUGCUAAUUGGUAUGCUCCCGCAGUUUUCCUGGGUCUUGCUUGCCUUACUGUAUUUUGGAGUCUACUAUCUGUUAGUGGAUGCUUUUGCUCUGUCUUCCCUCUCCACUUUCUACUUUCCACUCUCCCCUCUCCUCAGAAAACAAACAAACAAUAAUAGUAAUAAUAAUAGUAAUAGUAAUAAAACAAAACAAACAAACAAAACAAAACAAAACAAAAAAACCCGGAGGUUUUUAAUCAGUAGAUGGCAGUAAGAGCUAGCAAGAAGCCUGAAAGGGAGUCUCACAGACCUACACAUUAAUCAUACAUAUAGCAAAUUCCACAAAGUACAAGCCGACAAAGACCCUGCUUUACCACAAUCAAUCUUUAUUCACCACUAGAUUACAGUGGUUAGAUAUAUUUGAUUGCCACAGGUCCAAGAAAAAGCUUAUAAAUAACUAUAAAUGUAAUCGGCUUAAAUUUUUGCCAUUGUAUUUUUUGGUUUUAUUUUUGUUGUAGGCUGAGAUUGGGGUGCAAUCUGUUUAUCCUUAGAUUUGUUGUAUGACCACCCAGUCCAUCUGUCACCUUGACUUUGAAGCUGUAAUUUUAAUGUUUGGCUCUGUAAAUGUUUAAAGCAUCAUUACAAAUUUACAAAGGGAAAGAUACUGCUAACGGUGCAGCUGAAAUAAGACUGUCUCAGCUCACUUGUCUUUACUCCAAGACUUUCACUGCUGUGUGCCUGUGUUUUAAGCUGAAAUGAUAUCACAACAGUGAAGUAAUGCUGCAUUGUACUGCAGGAUCCAUUUUGGACAGCUCUAUUCUCUAGCCUGCAUUGCUUUUUCAAAAAGUCACAAUGUACAAUGGAUGUACACUUUAUUCACUUGUGAAAGGUAUGAAUUCAUGUAUUUUUCUAACAUACACUCAGCAAAAAAAGCAGUGUAAGUAUACUUGAAAAAAAAAAAAAAAGAAAAUAGAAUAAUAAUGUUGAUUUACUUUCCAGCUCACUAUCUAUAUAUAGUUAGAAAUGUAUAUUUAAUUUUCUGUAAAUUUGCAAGCUUUUUAACUGUGUAAUAUAUAUAAAAUUUGAAAUCCACACUGUAUUUCUCUGUUUGACUCUAUUUGUUUAAGCUAUGUAUUUGUGUACCAAUCAGACCUAUGAUAGUUUUAUUUAACUUCACAGUCCUUUUUCUGUGAAAGAAAAUUGUCUUUUUCUGCUUCCCAUUCAGUAGUACAGAUGUACAAGAAUUUUGUAACAAUCUUAAAUUUUCUUGCUUAAUAAAAAUAUUUUCACAGUAUAACACUGAAAUAACAUCAUGUAAGAUUGAAAGAAAAAAGAGAAACACAAAAUUAAAGAGAAGUUUGUGGCCUUUAGUUAUAAAUAUAGAGGAGUUUAUGGAGGCCACAAUGAAACAAUCAGCUCUGAAAGAAGUUUGAGACAAGAAAGCAUUAUUUCCAUAGGAGGUGAGUAGGGUCAGGGCACUGGUUCUGAAAAGCACCAUAAACUUUUGAAAGAUAUAAUUAAUGAUCGAAACAGGCAGACAGAUUAAGAGGUGCAUAUAUGUGUGCAUAGAUAUGUACAUUAUAUAUAAAUAUAAAUGAUAUAGUUACAGAUAUUGAUAGCAUAAUUAAUUUCUAGUUGGUCAAUAUUAGGAACCGCUAUAUAGCAUAGUAGUUGCAUUUGCUGUGGGGUGCUGGCAUUAAGAAAUUUGUAUACCAUGGUUAAACAUAUAUACAGCAACGAAUUCAACUCAGUAAGUGUUCCCUCUCCCCCUACAAAGUACACUGAUGUUUUAUAUUCUGUUGAAAUCAAUUGAAGUGUAUCACAUUGGCAUCCAAAGAAAACAACAGUUGGUGAUUUCAGAUUUCCCAGGUGAGGACUGCAAUCAGUUGAUCAAACUGCAAUUGCUUUUUACUCUGGGGUAAAUACAAAUAUGCAUGGAUUGUUCUUUGUGGUCAUGCUUCAGUGGUAUCCAGCUAGCUUCUGACAUCACCAGGUCUCCUUUACAGGCAGAUAAUUUUAUCCUUUUGCCAAGGACAGCCACUUUAGUCACAGCAUUUUGUAUCUGCCUUGGCUGCAGGAGAGUCAUCUCUUUUAACACAUUCAGAAACGAAUAUAUUUUACCAACAAAUUCUCCAUUCUAACAUUUUUGCAUCAUUUGUGAUUUUUUAUUCUUUUAUGUGGCCCUUUUACAUUAAAGCUAAACCAGAGCAUUCCUUCAUAAAUAAAUAAAUAAAUAAAUCUAGCUGAUUGAGUGCCAAAGACUGCACAAUAGACUUCACUAAGAGCUGAGAUUUAUUCAUUGCAAGCAUAAAGCAUUUGAGUACUCUGCAAUUUAAUCUUUUUUUUUUUUUUUUUUUUUUUUUUCACUUUCAUCAAGCAAUUGGUAGGCUGUAGAGAGUUCUAGCAAUUUUUUUGAUUAAUUCAGUACAAUAUUACCUUUGGUUCUCUAUCAGCAUGAAGGUUAUAAAAACAAUAGCAUUUAAGAUAUAGAAAAUAUCUCAAAAAGGUGACAAUAAUACUAAAUAUGUAUUCUAUUUUUUGACAAAAAUGUCGAUGCAGGACUGAAAAGGAGUAAUAAAAUACCACUGUGAUAUUAACACUUUGUGGGAGGACACUGUCAUCUUUGUAAUUUAAUGCUUUGUUUGUUUUUCAUAGUUUUUACACUGGCAGAAUAUCCAGAGCCCAGUAUAAAUUUUUAAAAAGUCAGCAAUUCAUUAAUACUUCUCUUUAUGUCAUGUUCACAGAUUGAAUCUGAUUGGAAUUUCAAAGAAGGUCAGAGUGAACUUUUCAAGUUUUAUGUGAAUAAAAACACCCAACAGGAUCAAAACCUAUUCCGCUUUAUUCAUUCAGAAUAUAAUCAAAUAAAUAUGGGCUUAACAGCUUCUUUCUUUAACCCCAAAUUCGAAAGGCUUAUGUGAGUUCUUCCAUUACCUUGCUAUUGUGGAAAUACUGAGAAGCAACUUCCUCUCCAUUUCAAGUUUCAUACUGGAAUUAAUGCACUAAUAUCUGUCUUGGGAAACAGGUAUUUGUAAUGUUAAUUCAGUCCUCAUCAGCAUCAUAACUUUAGAGCUAAUGACAAAAUGAUGUAACAAGAUAAUGGAGUCUGAAAGUGAACAAUAGAAAUUAUGUUCCACUCCCCAAUCCAGACACAUUUUUUAAAUAUUAGAGAUGUGGAACAAAGGUAAUGAGAAUCUGACAAGUCACUCACUAUUUGACAGUAAGGAGAAAUACAGAGAAAAAGAGAGUGUUGAAGACUCAAAAAGUGCAGUGGGAGGAAACACAGCACCAACUGUACAGAAGCAAUUUUCAUGUCACAGUCUGUAUUAAGGAAUUAAUGUCAGUUUUUCUCCUCACUUCAAAAUAUUGAUAUUUAAAACAAUCAAAACGGUUUUAUUCAAAAAGUUCCAGUAGCAGCAGUAUUAAAUUAUAGAAUUAUUUUAUUAAAUUAAACAGAAAAAUACUGAGGUUUUAUUAGCUGUGUAGAGAUGACAGGUAACCCCUUUUCUUCAACAGACUGGUGUAAGAGGGUGAUCUUAUAUUUAUUGACUUGCCACACUCUCGUGUGAUCUGUCUUUUGUACAUGUAGCUAUCUGCCAAUCAGAAGGCAGAUAGUGGAAAAUACCUUUCUCCAUCUCUUUGCCUGUGUACUCAUCCUCAUCCACAAAAUAUUUCCUUCACUUCAACAGUGUAAGUCCAUUUAAAAGUAUACAGAAACUACCAUGACUUACUAGAUUAUUACAAGAUUUAGAGGAAUAAAGUUAUGUUCUUUGAGACUAAUUAUUUUUGCUUCUGGCUUUCAUUGUAUUCUGUACAUCAACAGGCUUCCUGUUUGAAAAACAGUUCACUUUUAAAUGGCUUCAUGCUGUUAUCCAAGAUAUUAUAAAUUUGGUAUAGGACAUAAGUGGAUUAUGAGUGGAAAAUGGACUAAAUUCAAAGGGUCAGAAGUCCAAAGUCCAGCUGGUGGUUAGCUACUAGUGGUACCUCUCAGAAUUCAUAGGGCCACUGCCAUUAAACAGUGUUAUUAACAGCUUGAGUUAUGAGGUAGCAUGCACACUCAAUGAACUUACUGAAAAAUAUCAAGCUAGGAGAAGGUGAUGAUGCACUGGGAGGACAGGGCUGCUAACCAGGAGAAAUGAACUGACAGAAAAGUCCUGAAAAUCAAAUGUAAAGGCAAAGUCCUGCACAAGGCAAGGAAAAAUCCCAUGUGCCAGGGUAGACUGAGGAUUGACUAGCUGGAAAGCAGCUUUCCUGAAGAACUUCUGGGGUCAACAAAAUGGAAUGUGCCUUCACAAUAAAGAAGGCCAACUAUGCUUUAACAAGUAGCAAAGCAGUAUCUAG
rnacentral:lncRNA from 1 species